CGGCGGACGGGUGAGAUAAUACUUAGGAAUCUGCCUAUUAAUGGGGGACAACAUCUCGAAAGGGAUGCUAAUACCGCAUACGCCCUACGGGGGAAAGCAGGGGAUCACUUGUGACCUUGCGUUAAUAGAUGAGCCUAAGUCGGAUUAGCUAGUUGGUGGGGUAAAGGCCUACCAAGGCGACGAUCUGUAGCGGGUCUGAGAGGAUGAUCCGCCACACUGGGACUGAGACACGGCCCAGACUCCUACGGGAGGCAGCAGUGGGGAAUAUUGGACAAUGGGGGGAACCCUGAUCCAGCCAUGCCGCGUGUGUGAAGAAGGCCUUAUGGUUGUAAAGCACUUUAAGCGAGGAGGAGGCUCUUUUGGUUAAUACCCAAGAUGAGUGGACGUUACUCGCAGAAUAAGCACCGGCUAACUCUGUGCCAGCAGCCGCGGUAAUACAGAGGGUGCGAGCGUUAAUCGGAUUUACUGGGCGUAAAGCGUGCGUAGGCGGCUUUUUAAGUCGGAUGUGAAAUCCCCGAGCUUAACUUGGGAAUUGCAUUCGAUACUGGGAAGCUAGAGUAUGGGAGAGGAUGGUAGAAUUCCAGGUGUAGCGGUGAAAUGCGUAGAGAUCUGGAGGAAUACCGAUGGCGAAGGCAGCCAUCUGGCCUAAUACUGACGCUGAGGUACGAAAGCAUGGGGAGCA
rnacentral:rRNA from 1 species